rnacentral:lncRNA from 1 species
UGCAUAUGCAUCCUCGUAAUUAUAAAGUUUUGUUAAUUAGGAUAAGAAUACAUGUGAUUGUAUACACAUUUGAUAAGUCUUUUUUACUCCAGGUUAAAGUGGUAUGUAAGGGAUGCAUAAACAGAAGCAGUGUGUUGCUGUUUACUGCAGGAAGGUUUUAUGACAAUGAAUUGUAUGGCCAACGAAUGAGAGAGAGUAGAUGCUAAUUUUGAUGCUGCUGCAGCAGGCAAUGUUUACAAGGGUAUCAUUCCUGGAAAACAUUCCUGAUGUGUUUUCAUCUUUACCUUGCAAGAUUAUGAAGUUAAUUUUCAACCAAGGCGUGGUAGCAAGUGGAGAUUUAUUUUCUGCUGUAGCAUUUCUACUGGAUCUGGCUUGCAUUUUACAAUUCCAAACAUUGGAAUGUUACAGUCUACUGUUAAUUAAGAUUGACGGUGGAGAAGACAAAGGAGACCCCAAUUUAAAAUAGUUAUUUAUCUUGCAUGCUCUAUCUAAAAGAAGUAAUUGAUUAAGUUCAUUUUAUUCGAAUUAAGUUUUUAUUUUACAUUGUUUUGUAUUUUAUUUAGUUCUAUAACCUUCUAUAAUAUUCAAUGUUUCCUUAUAGUGUUGUAUUCUCUUCUCAGCCUUGUGGGAGGAGAGAGGGCCGCCUCGAACAAGUCCCCGUGGCCGUAGCUUUUUAGUUGUUCUUAAAAGUGUCUCAUACACUUUUCGCGAGUCACUCUAGCGUUACUUCCUUUCAGGCAGGGUACAGUGGGUUAUCUGGAAUAGGAGCAAUAGGCGACUGCCCAGCUUGCCCUGGCGAAAUCUGUCCGAUCUUGUGUACCAAAACUAUUAGUAUUUGCCGUUAGUCCUGUUAAUUUGCACUAGUUUCUUUCAGAUAAUGAGGUAUUCUCUAAGAAGAAAGAAGACAUCGUAUUUUUUGCUUUUUAUUGUAUUUUCCUUGAAAUUUCAUUUAUUUUCUUGUCUUUCUUUUACAGGUACUAUGUACUUUACUGUAUAAACUGUUAUAUUUUUAAAAUCCUAACCUGGGUUGAUAUUUAAAAUGUUUCUAUACUGAUUUUUUGGUAUAAUUGUUAAAAUAUUUGUUAACGCUUUCAAAAUUAAUAUUCGUUUGGGUGGAUAGGGUGGGUAAAGAGGUGAUGCGGAGGUCACAGAGGGUUAGGGGGGCUCUUUUCUCUCUAAUCUUGCAUUUCAAUAAUAAUAAUAUGACAGUUCAUGUAUUAUUUCUUAAAUAUUUUGUUUGUAUUAAUGUAUUAUUAUUUGAAGUCCCUAUCUGUUGAUAUUCAUACGUUGUUUUUAAUAUAAAUGCUAUUAAUUUGCAACAAUAAAUGUGUUAUUGAACAUAUUUUAUUUCAUGUAAUUAUGUAUUCAGUCAUAAAAAAGGAUGUAAAGAAAUUAUACAACUUCGGUACAACCCUUA